GAGGUAGCGACAAGAAAUAGCAAUAUAAGGCUUAUAUGUCUUGUAAUUGGGAUGAGUAUAAUAUAAACCGCGCUACGAGUAUCAAUUGGAGGGCAAGUAUGGUGCCAGCAUCCGCGGUAAUUCCAGCUUCAAUAGCGUAUAUCAAAAUUGUUGCGGUUAAAACGCUCGUAGUUGGAUAUUUGUUGAGAACUGCCGGUCUACCCCAGUGAGUCAGCACACGGUUCGUUCUCGGCACUUUGCUGGGGAGAGUGUCUUGCCCUUCGCUGUGUGGCACAUGAUCCAGAACUUUUACUGUGAGGAAAUGAGAGUGUUUCAAGCAGGCGCCUGUCGUGAAUACGUUCGCAUGGAAUAAUAGCAUGGGAGCGCGGUCUGAAGCUGUUGUUUUUCGGUCCGUGGUAAUGAAAAUAGGGAUAGUUGGGGGUAUUAGUAUUUAACUGUCAGAGGUGAAAUUCUUGGAUUUUUUAAAGACGGACUUCUGCGAAAGCAUCCGCCCAGGAUGUUUUUAUUGAUCAAGAACGAAAGUUAGGGGAUCGAAGACGAUCAGAUACCGUCCUAGUCUUAACCUUAAACCAUGCCGACUAGAGAUGAGGGUCGUCAGAAUCGUGACGCCCUGAGCAACUUAGGGGAAACCAAAGUUUUCGGGUGCCGGGGGGAGUAUGGUCGCAAGGCUGAAACUUAAAGGAAUUGACGGAAGGGCCCCCCCCGGAGUGGAACCUGCGGCUUAAUUUGACUCAACACGGGGAAACUUAUCAGGUCCGGACAUAGAGAGGAUGGACAGACUGAUAUCUCUUUCUUGAUUCUAUGGGUGCUGGUGCAUGGCCGUUCUUAGUAGGUGGAGUGAUUUGUCUGGUUAAUUCCGUUAACGAACGAGACCUUAUCAUGAUAAAUAGUUUCCAGAACCAUAUAGUUUCAGGAUGAUUUGUUAGAGGGACUUUGUGUGUGUAACGUGAGGAAGUGUGAGGCAAUAACAGGUCUGUGAUGCCGUUAGAUGUUCUGGCCCGCACGCGCCCUACACUGAUUCGUUCAACGAGCUCCUAACCUACUCCGGAAGGAUUGGUCAACCUUGUGAAAGCGCAUCGUGAUGGGGAUAGAUUAUUGCAAUUUUUAAUCUUGAACGAGUGAAUUCUAUAGUAAAGCGUAAUCCACUCAGCAUUGGCGCUGAGUUACGUCCCCUGCCGCUUUGUACACACCGUCCGUCGCUCCUACCGAAUGAGUGGUCCGGUGAAUAAUUCGGACAGCCUAUUAUUUUAGACUUGGGAUUCGACGCGAGAAGUCUAGUAAACCUUAUCACUUAGAGGAAGGAGAAGUCGUAACAAGGUAACC
rnacentral:rRNA from 1 species